UUUCCACUCCAAAAUAGUUUAUUUGCAUCACGAAACUCAACGUUAAGUAAACUGAAAGAAAAAAAAGCAUUCAAUAUAUUCUAUAUGAUCAAUGAGUUUUCUUACAACAGCGAUGUCAUAUACGAUCUCAUGUUUGAAGAUGCGAUAAUCUUGUACUAUAACACUACAAAAGAUACGUACAAUGAACAGUCACUUUUCAAUACUUUAUGGGACAAAUUAAUGCUCGUGCCGCCCAUAUAUACAACUCACUCUUUGAAGUCAAGAAAUAUAAAAACUGUAAUAACUUCUUGGACAACACAACUUGGAUAUCCUGUGAUACAAGUAAAACGAUACAGUAAGACACAGUCUCUGACAAUAAUGGUUAUAGACUGUUUUGCGGUUGAUGAAAAGGAGCCCUGUGAUCGCAAAUGGUGGAUACCUGUGACUUAUGUAAAAAUACCAAAGAAUGAGUUUAUUACAAAGUAUCAUUUAUUCUUACAACCAGACGGACAAAAAAUCUCGAUUUCAAAUAUUAAAGAAGAUGAUUGUAUUAU